UGCGACCCCAAGUCAGGCGAGACUACCCGCUGAGUUUA
rnacentral:rRNA from 1 species